UAUUCCCCACUGCUGCCUCCCGUAGGAGUCUGGUCCGUGUCUCAGUACCAGUGUGGGGGACCUUCCUCUCAGAACCCCUACGCAUCGUAGCCUUGGUGGGCCGUUGCCCCGCCAACAAGCUAAUGCGCCGCAUGCCCAUCCCUGGACGAAAUUCUUUCACACGCACGUCAUGCGGCGUGCGUGCAUACGGGGUAUUAGGCCGCGUUUCCGCGGGUUAUCCCCCAACCAGGGGCAGGUUGCAUACGUGUUACUCACCAGUGCGCCGGUCGCCAUCGAGAGUAUUGCUACCCUCAUGCUGCCCCUCGACUUGCAUGUGUUAAGCCUGCCGCCAGCGUUCAUCCUGAGCCAA
rnacentral:rRNA from 1 species